rnacentral:misc_RNA from 1 species
UCCGCGUUGUGCGCGGCAGUCUGAACGGAGGUAUAACCGUCCACGGGGGUUGCGCUCGUUAGGGGACUUAACCCAACACCUCACGGCACGAGCUGACGACAGCCAUGCAGCACCGUGCUAGCCGCCCCUUGCGGGGACACCCCAUUACAGGUGGUGCAACUAGCAUUGAACCCAGGUAAGGUGCUUCGCGUCGCAUCGAAUUAAACCACACGCUCCGCUGCUUGUGCGGGUCCCCGUCAAUUCCUUUGAGUUUUAACCUUGCGGCCGUACUCCCCAGGCGGUCCACUUCAUGCGUUAGCUUCGGCACGCAGGGGGUCGAUACCCCGCACACCUAGUGGACAUCGUUUACCGCAUGGACUAC